CUUAGAAUGGUGUUUCGAUAAUAAACAAGAUGCUGCUUAGCAACUUUUCUCUUUGAACAAAAUCUUUAGAAAAGUAAGCACAAGAAAAAGUGCCGAACUUCUUAUAAAGCAACGAUUUCAUUCAAGAAAUUAUCAUUUCUUCGAAAGAUACAACAUGAACAAGUCACUAUUUCUUCUCUUGCUCGUCAUCGGAGUUCUCGUCCUGACUGAAUCAACUGAUGCUGAUGCGUGGCGUCGCCGCCGUCGUCGAUGGGCCUGGGACCAACAAGAAGUUUCAGAUCUUGAAGAAAUGUCAAACACUGAACA